UUUUGGAAAUAUGUAAGAAUACAACAGUCAUGUUUUGUACUACACAUUCAGCUAUGCAUUGAAUCAUUUCUCUUUCUUUUCCUAUAUUCUAAUUACAGGAAGUUAUGAUGUGGGUCCUCAGGGCAAACUGCGCACAUUCCUCAGUUAUCCACACUGCAGGGAAUCUUUAGAUCUGGUAAAAGGCAAACACUACCUUAUCAUGGGGACAUCCAAAGAUAUUCACAGAGAUGACGAAAAUAAUUCGUUUCAGUAUGUACUCGGUGAGAGAACCUGGAUCGAGUACUGGCCCACAAAUGCAGAGUGUCAAAUUGAGGAACACAGACACACCUGUGUGGGCCUGGAGGAGAUGCAACAGCAGUAUGCACUCUUUGGAUGUGGACAGUAGACAAACUUGUGAAAGUAAAAUGUAGUUCUAAAAUUGUUUUUAUUUUGCAUAAUUCUAAUUAUGUAAAACUUUAAUUGCUGAGACAUGAGGGCAGCCAAAGUUACACAUUGAUUCAAAUAUAAUGGUCUGACUCUCAUUGUCUUUGUCUUCUAUAUAAAUGAACUUGUGGUUAAUGAAGACAUAAUGACCACUGUACUAAUGAUCUUUUGUGAGUUCAAGUAGAAGUUCAAUAAAGUUUGAUAAUGUUUAGGUCGGUGGAAGGAUUCCAACAACAA